UCCCUCGUGCAGCGGGGGCAGUUGUGCUGGAGCGAGCUCCGAGGCGGACGUCCCAGGGCCACGCGGGAUGUCCUCUCCCUGCCCGGCGGGAGGGAGGUGGUCCAGGUCCGUGCACCUCCAUGCUCCUGUCUGGCUCUGCCCCUAAACCCACAGAGGCAGGACCUGCAGCUGCGGAGAGUUGACUGCAUUGUUCCAAAGCUGCAGCCCUCACUGAACAGAAAAAAUGUCCAUGAGUUGUUACCCCCAGGAUACUGAAGUGUGUCAGUGACAAGGACACAGCUACCCAGAAUGUUGAAGUAUCCCAGACACAACAGCACCAUCACACAGGAGUCCAAAGCAGCAGAUAACCCAAGCAUUGCCCUAAUUUGACCCUCUGGUCUUUGUGGGUGUUGCUCCUACCUGAAGAGACUUCAUCGUCACUGUUAUAGUCCGAAACGCUCUGCAAGACCCAAUCUUGAGAGACACAAACACAGACAGAAGCUGGAAUCAGGUUGGCUCUCCAGAAGAGAACCGGCAGGACGGUCCCAGUGUCUCAUCCCUUCAGUUGUUCCUCAGCACCUGAGGCAUUCUAGAAUACGUACAGUGUCCACUGGAUCCUGAGUCCACCUGCAGUCAGAGAAAGGAAGUCACUGUGAGAGUACCUUCAACUGAUUCCUUUGUUGGGGGCAUCCUGCUCUUUGGCAAGACAUGGAUUUUUCCGGCCUUCUGUGUGGAAUGGACAGUCGAUGUACUUGACCUCCGAAUUCCUUUUUGUCUAAAACUCUUUAGACAAGAACCUGGAACAGUAUGACAAUACAGACAGCUGUUGACAUCCAGCUGGCAGGAGACCACAGAGAAGUGAAAGAUUUUGAAACAACAAACUUAACAGAAGCAUCAAAAGUAGAAACUGAAUAAUACGGAUGACCAACUAUCUUUAUAAAUCUGUAGACAGCCUGGAAUGGGGAAAUGACAGUCCAUGAGGAGAGUGAUUAAGCAGAAGGUCCCGGAUGAAGCAGCAACAUCCCAGGAAAGGGGGUGUCUGGAUUGACAAGUGAGAGGAUAGAAUUACACACAGGGGCUUGUGACCUGCAUCUCAGCAAUCCUAAACAAACUUCCUGCCUAUUUCUAUCACAUCAAAAGAAGCUGAAAUGUCAAAAAAGAGACAGCACGCGCGGUGGGUGUCACGCAAUGUCCCUUCAAGAGAGCCGUUAUUGACUGGAUUAGUUUUGUGGGGCACAAAAUUUAUAACUCAGGACAUUGUAGGAAAUGAUAACGCAACCAGCCAGUGGUUCAUGGAGUUCAAGAGCUGGGUGUGUUUAGGGGAAGAGAGGAAGAGAGCCCUCCCCAUGCACUGCUGUCCUGAAUGUCUGCAGACAUGGAAAAAGCUGAGCCUCUCUGAGGAGCAAAAUCAAGAGGUGCAGGGAGGAAACAGACUUUAUUAAAAUAUUAAGCUGAUCACUAAGCAAAUAAAUGAGAAGAUAAAAACCAACCAGUCUUCGAGAGAGGAGAAUCACACCCAGCAUUGCUACGAUCUACAAUGUCUUUUCAAAAAAAAAAAAAAGUAAGCAAAAAAUCCAGGAAGGCAUGACCCACACACUGGGAGGAAAAAGCAGGCCAGGAAACUGCCUGUGAGAGGGCUCAGAUGUUGGACUUAGCAGAAAGAGACGUGCAUUGGGCCUUUUAGAAUGAAAAAAAAAAAAGUAGCAACCACAAGAAUGCUGGAGUGGCUGCUGUGCUAUCAGGCAAGAUAAACAACACGAAAAUGUUACUAGAGAGAAACAGGGACACUUAAUACUGUCAAAAAUAUAUAACAGUCCCAGAUAAAUAUCCAGCCAAUGGCAAAGGACCAAGAUACAUGGAACAGCACUGACAAAAUGAAGGGAGAAAUAGACAAGUCGACCAAAAUGGCUGGAGAUUUCCACAACCUGCUUUCAGAAACGUACAGAAAAAUUCGACCAAAGGUCAACAAGGAAGUGGAAGGUCAGAGCAACACUAUAAACCGAUUAUAUCUAACAGACAUCUCUGGAACACUUCAUCCAACAACGGCAGAAUAUACCUUCUUAUCAAGUGCAAAUACAACAUCCUGUAGACCAUAGACUCAACUAAGCCUAGAGAGAAUUAUUAAAAGCUGUAACAAAUUUAAAAGAUAGAAACGUAUAAAGUUCAUUUCCAACACAGAGUAAAAUGAAAAACCAGUAGCAGUAAAAAAUCGAGGAAAUUAAAAAGUAUGUGAAACUUAAGCAACACUUUUUUUUAAAAUUACAUAUUUGAGAGGCAGAGUUACAGAGAGAGAGAGAGAGAGAGAGAGAGAGAGAAUGAGAAACAGUAAGAAAUCCUCCAUCCUGUGGUUCACUCCCCAAAUGGCCACAGCAGCCAGGGCUUGUCCAGGCUGAAGCCAGGAGCCUGGAACUCCAUCGUGGGUCUCCCCUGUGGGUGGAACUCAACUACUUGAGAGCAUCACCCAGUGCAGCAAUAGCAGGGAGCUGGAUCAGAAGUGGAGCCUCUGGGACUCAACUGGGCACUCCUGACGUGGGGUGUGGGCAUCCCAAGCAAAGGCUUAAACUGCCGUGCCACCACACGCUCCUCACAAUUACUUACAAAAAUGCAGCUGUAACAAAGCACCAUGAAUCCUGCGGCAUAAUGCAACAGGAAUUCCCUACGUUAGAGCUGUGCAGGGUAGGAGUGGAAGUGGUCCUGGCCGGGCGGCCUUGCGUAGGGUCCCGUAAGCCUGCUCAGGUGUGGGCAUGGCUGCAUCCCUGUACUACAGACUCUGGGGAGGAGGCGGCUGCUGAGUUCAUCCAGAUUUUGGGCUGAACUCUGUUCCUCAAGGGUGUAGUACUGAGGACCCCCUUUCCUUGCUGUCUGUCACCUGCGGGCUGGUGCCAUGUUUCCAUGUGGCUCCUGUCUACAGUCAUGGGCUCCAUCUCUCUCUCGCCCCCUCAGCUCUCUCUGACCUGCCCUUCUGUGUCCCCUCUCUCACUCAGCCCAGAUUAAGUUCUCUGACUCCUGCCAUCAGACUGGGCCCACUGGUGUGGGGGUGCCUCUGGGAAGGCCCAUGGCCGUGACAUCAGUGACACCUGCUAAGGCUCUCCUGCCCAGCGACACGGUCACAGGACAUAGGGUGAGGACUGGAGGUUCUUUUGGGAGGCCACUCCAUCUACUACAGUCCUCUAAACAGGCGUUUCUUGCUGCCAUCCCACCACACUUAUUCUUUCUGGGUCACCAAGGACCUACACGUUACCAGAUCCAGCGGUCAGUCCUCAGUGUGGCUGGCGUUGGCCCUCUGUAACACUGGAUCUGCCUGACGCCUUUCUUUGCGUGAUGGUUUCAGCCCCUGCCUUUACGGUCCUUUGUCCCUGACAGCUCUUGGUCUGCUUUGCUGCUUCCUGCUUUAACCCACCGCCUGGAGCUGCCUGGCUCCAAGGCUCUGGUCUUGAAUCUGUUCUCCCUCCAACUAAGUGGUUGCACUUCUUCAAUAGCUUGAACAGCUAUAACUCUAUGAUUCCUGAAUGACCUGCUGGAGUGAUUGAGACUACUGGCAUUGUGGCAUCCCUGAAAUUAAGAACUGGCUUCAGUAAAACGCCGCCCUGCAUUUGACGCUGACUCAGCAAUCCAUGGUGCUGGAUGCAGACCAGGAGAGCUCUUUUCUCCCGAGGUGGACGCCCAAGAUGAGGAAAUCGCAUCAUUGGAAGUUGUCAAUCACACCCUGCUGAUCCAUGAUCCUGUGGAGCUCAAGAGAGGCUGGGGGAGGCAGAAGCAGUGCCUCUGCCUCUCUUCUAACUCAGCAAUUGAUUAUUGGGGUCUAAUACCAAGUGUAUAGCCACCACUUCCUCUCCUGAGUAUCAUAAAGUGUAUUUUCACUAUCCCUUACUAUAAAAGGUGACUUUUUUUUUAAAGGUUAUAUUUAUUUAUUUGAAAGGCAGAGUUAGAGAGUGAGAGUGAGAGAGAGAGAGCUUCCAUCUGCUGGUUCACUCCCCCCAUGGCUGCAAUGGAUGGAUCUGGGCUAGUUCAAAGCCAGGAGACAGGAGCUUCUUCUGGGUCUCCCACAUAGGUGCAGGGGCCCAAGGAUUUGGGCCAUCUUCCACUGCUUUCCCAGGCCAUAGCAGAGAGCUGGUUUGGAAGUGGAACAUCCAGGACAAACUGGCACCCAUAUGGGAUGUCGGCACUACCUGCUAAGGCACAGUGCCGGCCCUUUUCUUUUUGUUUUGCAACUGUUUUGACUCUUUAUUGAUCCAAAAGGUGUUCAUGGAGGGCCCAUUCUUCACUGUGCCCCCACAGAGAAUACAAUCAAGAACAGGACAGGUAGGGAGCUUACAGACAGGUGACGAAUAAGAGAGAGGGAAGUGCAGGUUGUGAUUAGGGUUUGAGAUAAGAAGAGAGACAGGGCACCUCCUGGAGAAGAAGCCAGGACAGUGUGGAGAAGCAUCAUAGGAGAGGACCUGAGAUGACAGCAUUUCAACUCAACCUCAUGGAUGAGAAGCAGCUGCCAUCGCCACACUGGCAUCCCCAGAAUUCUUGGCUGAGUGAUCAGCAUGCCUCAUGAGGAUACAGCUGAGCCCUCUGGAGGGGGGGGCUUCAUGCAGGGCUGAUGCGACUGGAGCCCAGUGCAUGGGGACACUGUAUUGCUUGCAAGUCUGAAGGCGUGCUCAGGGCACAAUGUCAGACCUCCAGGCCAAGGUGCACUCAGGGCCCUCCUCACACAGGUCACUGUAGGCCCUGGUGCGGGGCCACAAUGUUACUCUGCAGGGUUUUGCAGCAUGGGACUGAGCAUGUCACGUCACUGUUUGUCAUGCCUGGUUCUGACUGCCAGUAGAUGAUGGUUGGAAGGCAAGGCCAUUGUGAAGCAGGUACCCAGUCAGCCAAGGGUGUAGCCCUGAUCUGCAAUACCUGGGAUCUGUUCUGGGAGUGGCUGUGACCUUGGAAGAAGCAGUGGACAGAGCUGCAGUAUAGGCCGGAGACCUGGCCUGCUGGGUGCACUCUCCUCUCAGCCCGGAGCACAGAUGCAGUGACUACUCUGCCUUGAAAGCAGCAAUUUCGGGGCCGGUGCUGUGGCGCAGCAUGCUGAGCCGGUUUGUGUCCCAGCUGCUCCUCUUCCAAUCCAGCUCUCUGCUGUGGCCAGGAAAAGCAGUGGAAGAUGGCUCAAGUGCUCUGGCCCCUGUACCCAAGUGGGAGACCCUGAGGAAGCUCCAGGUUCCUGGCUUCGGAUUGGCGCAACUCUGUCCUUUGUGAUCAUUUGGGGGGUGAACCAGCACAUGGAAGACCUCUCUCUCUGUCUUUCCCUCUCUAUGUCUGUAACUCUACCUCUCAAUUAAAUCCAUCUUUUUUUUUUUUUUUGACAGGCAGAGUGGACAGUGAGAGAGAGAGACAGAGAGAAAGGUCUUCCUUUUCCAUUGGUUCACCCUUCAAUGGCCGCUGUGGCCGGUGCGGCCGGCGCACCGCACUGAUCUGAAGCCAGGAGCCUGGUGCUUCUCCUGGUCUCCCAUGGGGGUGCAGGGCCCAAGCACUUGGGCCAUCCUCCACUGCACUCCCGGGCCACAGCAGAGAGCUGGACAGGAAGAGGAGCAACCGGGACAGAAUCUGGCACUCCGACCGGGACUAGAACCUGGUGUGCCGGCACUGCAGGCAGAGGAUUAGCCUAUUGAGCCACGGCGCCAGCCAAAUAAAUCUUUAAAAAACCCAGAAAAAACAAAAAACCUGAGCCUGAAAAGUAAUCCCUUUGAUCCAAGAUCAUAUAUUUUGUAUCUCUUAAUAAGAAAAUUUUAUAAAUAUAUAUUUAAAUAUUUAUUUAUUUGAAAGGCACAGCUAUGAACAGAGGGAGAGACAGAGAGCGAGUAAGAGAGAGAGAGAGAGAGGGAGAGAAAGAGGUCUUCUAUCCACUGGUCCACUGAUGGCCAGGAAAUCCAGGGCUGAACCAGGCUGAAGACAGGAGCUAGGAGCGUAAUCCUGGUCUCCUAUAUGAGUUCAGGACCCAAAUACUUGGGCCAUCUUCUGCUUUUCCCAGGCCAUUAGCAGGGAACUGGAUUGGAACUUGAGCAGCUGGGACACGAACUGGCAUGAUGGCAUUGCAGGCAGCAGCUUAGCCCAGCCCCCUAUAAAUAUUUUUAGAAGUCACAAUAAGUCAGGCACUUUAAAAAAUUAUUUGUGUGUGUGUGUGUGUGUGUGAGAGAGAGAGAGAGAGAGAGAGAGAGCAAGCUCAUCUUCUGGUUCACUCCCCAGAUGCCUAUAACUAAGGCUGAAGCCAAGAGCCAGGGACCCAGUCCAGGUCUCCCUUGUAGGCUGCAGGGACUGAAAUACUUGAACCAUCCACACUGCCUCCUGCAGUCUGCUUUAGCAGGAAGCUGAAGUCAGGAGCCAGGGCUGGGUAUUGAACCCGGGUCUCCAGUGUUGAAUAAGUGUGUCUUAACUGCUGGGCCAAACACUCAUCCCCAUCAUGCACUUUUUUUUUUUGACAGGUUGAUUUAUAGACAGUGAGAGAGAGAGAUAGAGAGAAAGGUCUUCCUUCCAUUGGUUCACCCACAAAUGGCUGCUACGGCCGGCGCUGCGACAAUCCAAAACCAGGAGCCAGGUGCCUCCUCCAGGUCUCCCAUGCGGGUGCAGGGCCCAAGCACUUGGGCCAUCCUCCACUGCCUUCCUGGGCCACAGCAGAGAGCUGGACUGGAAGAGGAGCAACCGGGACUAGAACCCGGUGCCCACCCCGUCAUGCACUUUAAAACCUUUCUUCAGUCUCUCAAAUACUUUUUGAACAAAACAAGACACAGAUAAUAAAGGAAUGAACGGUUUUCCAAAACAGCAGUGUCU